UAAAGGGGCGCGCGCUCUCCCUUGCUCCGUCAGUGCCGCUCAUCCGUGCUUCCCACAGCUGGCGUUGGCUUUGCCUUCUCGGAAAAAAAAAAGGUGCCCGCAGCCUGCUUACCCCCACUGCAGGAUCAAGAUUCCCUGCAAUUCCCUGAGUGCUGACCUCUACGUCCCAGUGAGAAUCCAUCCACGUUAAGGAACUUCCCUCUUGAAGUGAACAAAUGUGCAAGGUAAAUAAUAGAGAAUAUAAAUCCCAUGGUACUGCAUGUUUUAAUGGAAGCAGUCUCAUGGUGGAGAUAAGAAGAUGGAAGGCUACUGAAAAUUUGUUGGACUGUACCGCAACCUCGCUGAAAGACAGGACUAGCAUUCUUAAAUCAUCUUAAAAUAACAAAAAGAAAGAACAAAAUGAAAUCCACAUAACACUUUUUAAGACGUGUCAAAAUAACACAUUCAGAUUUGCAUGCAAAAAAUACAAAACAAUAGAGUACAGAGGCAGCACUGCUACAGAAAGAGUUCUAGCAGCUGGAGUAGAUCGCUAGCAUCGAGAUGCUGCAUAGGAAAGGCAAUGCAACUGCAGGAUGGAUUAACAGGAGUGCUGUCUGCAAGACAUAAGAAGUUUUUGUUCUAGUUUGGCAAUAGCGAUGUGUCAACCACGUCCAGCUUUGGAUCGUAUAGUCUAAAAGAGACAUAGUAACUGAAACAGGCCCAGAGCACAGAGACAAAUACAAAGUAGUUUAUAAACAUCUCUUAAAUGGAAAGAGACUGAAGGAAAUCACACUCUUCUGGCUGGGGAAAAAAAGAAGAUAGCUGAAAAGGCAACAGGGCAAAUUGUCCAUUCCACAGCACCAGAACCUCUGAGUGCUAUUACAGGAGCACAAGGAUCAGCAACCAUCACAGCAGGGAAAGUCAUCAGUGAUUUAUUUAUCAAAACAUUUCAGGUGAACAUUAGAAAGCUUCUGAUUUCACGCACAUAGAAGUCAGUAUUAGCAACUUUGUGAAGAAACUCUAAGAUAUUCUGCACGAAAGAUGCUCAUGAACAGCCAAGAGCAGCUCAGGAAUGCCUGAGGGCAGCCAGAUCUCUGCUCUUGCCAACCUGAGACUGCCCCAACAGCAAUCAAACAAGGAAACGCACAAUGAAGACAUACGUAAUCAUAUCAAUAAUUGAGUAAAGCUAGCACACAUUCAUAAAUCUAGAACAAGAUAAUUUGACUACAUUGAGGAAGAAAGUUUCAUUUAAAACUAACAUCAGCACACAACUUGAAUAGUGCAUUAAUUAGAGAGCACAGCUGAGAAAGAACAUAAUAAAGACAUCCCACCAGAGCACUUUUAGGACUCAGAGAAAAGGUCUGAGUGGAAAAAAGAAAAACAACAAAAAACAAAACGCCCAUAGAGAUACCACUCCCUGCCUGGAACCGCAGGGACUUAGGUGCGCGUAAGGGAGCUGCAGGCAGGACAAACGUCACGCACU